UCUCCUUAGCACCUACGUCCACUCCCCAAGCGACCCCUUGGGAAUUCACUAUAAUCCCGCGGAUUACAGUUGGAUUGUUUUCCGGGCUCACAAUCCAAAAACCUUUACACUUUGGUUUUUCGGGUUCACCAAAAACCUAUGUUGGUUUUAUGGGCUCACCAACGAACCUAUACAAUUGGUUUUACGGGUUCACCAACAACCUACGUUGGUUUUACGGGCUUACCAACAACCUACGUUGGUUUUACGGG
rnacentral:lncRNA from 1 species